rnacentral:lncRNA from 1 species
UUUAGUGUAGUGGGUUCGAUACCCCUAUGUGUAGUUUUUUCUUUUAACAUUUUCUUUAUGUUUAUGCUUUAUUACUCAUAGUUUUUUAUUAUUGUUUAAUAAUAUAGAUUUGUUUUUCUUUUAAUUGCAUCAUGUGCUCGAAACCAUUUGAAAACUAUAAAAAUCAUACUUUUUCUCGAUUUAAUAUCGAGCCCAUUUUC